rnacentral:tRNA from 5 species
GCCGAUGUAGCUCAGUUGGUAGAGCAACUGAUUCGUAAUCAGUAGGUCCGCGGUUCAAUUCCGCGCAUCGGCUCCA